CGCGUGACCAAAUAAGGAGCGCUAGACUGAACUCCGCUCCACCGCAGUGAGGAAAUUCACCGCGAAUGAAUAAACCGUACAUUAUUUCCUCUAAUCGCGAGGAUGACGGAAACCACAGCGGCUUGCGUUCGUAAAACUUUUAGGAAGCGUGCCUCUUCACGCGCCUCCGCACCGGACUCCGUUAUAAAUAUUCUGAAGAGCACCGGCGGAGAUGCGAGCGCAUCCAGACUCGCGGCGAGGUUUGAAUGAGGAAGAAGGAACAAAUUGAGACAGCAGGAAGUUGAGCAAAUAUUGACAGGAGAUUCAUUUUCCAGCGAGCUAUCGCUUUAAAGCAUCGACUCAUCAAACAGGCUCCUGCAUCAUGAUAACACACGCCUAUCUGACUGUGAGAAGAUGCUGUGGAGAACAUCUCACUGUCCAAUCAGAGCAGACCAGACCAGAAAUGACUACUGGAGAAACCAAUCAGAUUGUGCCAUGUGAGAGAACGGGGCGGGACCAUCAGCAGAGUGAAUUUGGCAAGUUACACAAAUUGGGUAACCGGUCGAGAACGAGUCAAGCUUUACCUCGGAUUCAGAAGAAAAAUAAAAUCGCACUUCUAGAAAAAAAGAAUGAUUUCAACUGUAUUGCAGUGGUGUUUCUAUCAUGAAAACAUUCUUAAGAGUAAAGGUUCUUUACUGGAA